rnacentral:tRNA from 2 species
GCGUCCAUGGCUGAAUGGUUAAAGCGCCCAACCUAAAAAAAAAAAAGAUAAAGGGGCAAAUUCGUAGGUUCGAUUCCUGCUGGAUGCA